UCCUGGUGUGAGGAUGGUGUGGCUUCUG
rnacentral:piRNA from 1 species